CAGCCGCCGCGGGAAUACGUAGGGUGCGAGCGUUAAUCGGAAUUACUGGGCGUAAAGCGUGCGCAGGCGGUUCGUUAAGACAGAUGUGAAAUCCCCGGGCUUAACCUGGGAACUGCAUUUGUGACUGGCGAGCUAGAGUAUGGUAGAGGGGGGUAGAAUUCCACGUGUAGCAGUGAAAUGCGUAGAGAUGUGGAGGAAUACCGAUGGCGAAGGCAGCCCCCUGGGCCAAUACUGACGCUCAUGCACGAAAGCGUGGGGAGCAAACAGGAUUAGAUACCCCAGUAGUCCCUGUCUCUUAUAC
rnacentral:rRNA from 1 species